rnacentral:rRNA from 1 species
UACGAAGGGGGGCUAGCGUUGUUCGGAAUCACUGGGCGUAAAGCGCACGUAGGCGGACUUUCAAGUCAGGGGUGAAAUCCCGGGGCUCAACCCCCGGAAUUGCCUUUGAUACUGUAGGUCUCGAGUCCGGAAGAGGUGGGUGGAAUUCCUAGUGUAGAGGUGAAAUUCGUAGAUAUUAGGAAGAACACCGGUGGCGAAGGCGGCCCACUGGUCCGGUACCGUGACGCUGAGGUGCGAAAGCGUGGGGAGCAAACAGG